UCCCUGGAGGACUAGUGGUUAGGCCUUGGCGCCCUCAUCACUGUGGCUCGGGUUCGAUUCCCAGCCAGGGAA
rnacentral:tRNA from 1 species